rnacentral:rRNA from 1 species
AUUGAACGCUGGCGGCAGGCCUAACACAUGCAAGUCGAACGGUAACAGGAAUCAGCUUGAUGAUUCGCUGACGAGUGGCGGAAGGGUGAGUAAUGUCUGGGAAAAUGCCUGAUGGAGGGGGAUAACUACUGGAAACGGUAGCUAAUACCGCAUAACGUCGAAAGACCAAAGAGGGGGACCUGAGGGCCCUUUGACAUCCGAUGUGCCCAGAGGGGAUUAGCUAGUCGGUGGGGUAACGGCUCACCUAGGCGACAAUCCCUAGCUGGUCUGAGAGGAUAGCCGGACAAACUGGAACUGCGACACGGUCCAGACUCCUACCGUAGGCAGCAGUGGGGAAUAUAGCACAAUGGGCGCAAGCCUGAUACAGCCCUGCCGCGUGUAUGAAGAAGGCCUUCGGGUUGUAAAGUACUUUCAGCGAGGAGGAAGGUGUUGUGGUUAAUAACCACAGCAAUUGACGUUACUCGCAGAAGAAGCACCGGCUAACUCCGUGCCAGCCGCCGCGGUAA